AUGGUCAGGAUGUUUUACCACAGCAC
rnacentral:piRNA from 1 species